AACGAACGCUGGCGGCAGGCUUAACACAUGCAAGUCGAGCGCCCCGCAAGGGGGGCGGCAGACGGGUGAGUAACGCGUGGGAAUCUACCCAUCUCUACGGAAUAACGCAUGGAAACGUGUGCUAAUACCGUAUACGUCCUUCGGGAGAAAGAUUUAUCGGAGAUGGAUGAGCCCGCGUUGGAUUAGCUAGUCGGUGGGGUAAAGGCCUACCAAGGCGACGAUCCAUAGCUGGUCUGAGAGGAUGAUCAGCCACACUGGGACUGAGACACGGCCCAGACUCCUACGGGAGGCAGCAGUGGGGAAUAUUGGACAAUGGGCGCAAGCCUGAUCCAGCCAUGCCGCGUGAGUGAUGAAGGCCCUAGGGUUGUAAAGCUCUUUCACCGGUGAAGAUAAUGACGGUAACCGGAGAAGAAGCCCCGGCUAACUUCGUGCCAGCCGCCGCCGUAAUAC
rnacentral:rRNA from 1 species